GUCUCUUCGGGGAUGAUUAAACCGGCGCACGGGUGAGUAACACGUGAGUGACCUGCCUUUUAGACUGGAACAACUUACCGAAAGGUGAGCUAAUGCCGGAUGAGUUAUAUAAGUGCAUGUUUAUAUAGGAAAAGUUGGGGAGACCUGACGCUGAAAGAUGGACUCGCGUCCCAUUAGCUAGUUGGUAGGGUAAUGGCCUACCAAGGCGACGAUGGGUAGCCGGCCUGAGAGGGUGGCCGGCCACACUGGGACUGAGACACGGCCCAGACUCCUACGGGAGGCAACAGUGGGGAAUUUUGCGCAAUGCUCGUAAGAGUGACGCAGCGACGCCGCGUGAAUGACGAAGGCCUUCGGGUCGUAAAGUUCUUUCGACAGGGAAGAAAAUGCCUAUAAGUAACUGUGUAUGUAUUGACGGUACCUGUAUAAGCAGCCCCGGCUAACUCCGUGCCAGCAGCCGCGGUAAUACGGAGGGGGCGAGCGUUGUUCGGAGUGACUGGGCGUAAAGAGCACGUAGGCGGUGUUGUAAGUCAUUAGUCAAAGACUAGAGCUCAACUUUAGUAAGGCUAGUGAUACUAUAAUACUAGAGUAUCAGAGAGGAUUGCAGAAUUCCUGGUGUAGCGGUGAAAUGCGUAGAUAUCAGGAGGAAUACCGUUAGCGAAGGCGGCAAUCUGGCUGGAAACUGACGCUGAGGUGCGAAAGCGUGGGUAGCAAA
rnacentral:rRNA from 1 species